UGUGACAACAGGCUCUUAUAUGUAUAUAUAAUGGGCACUGUUAAGGUCAGGUGGGAAUCCUGGUCAGAAAUGUCCAUUUUCCCAUACCAUACAGACUGAGAACAAGGAAGGAAGAAGUCAUUUUCUAAACUGAUGGUGAGCAGACAAAAAGUGAGAGAACAACUACUUCCUCUCCAGAAGAUCAUCACAGACUGACUACAGUUGUGAUUACAAGAGGACAAAAGCAGUUCACAUUCGGCAUCGAGACGCUGCGCGAUUUUGCCCAGGUCCAUGUUAACUCUCCUGCCCUCUGCCAUAAUAGUCUGAAGAGACAUGGACAUCUGGUCACCCCAUAGAAAGUCACAUCAAAACUGUUAUUACACCUGUUGAGCUGGAUGAGCCACAAGUGGUUCAUCACUGGAGGCCGUGGCAUGACACUUACUUGAGUGUGGGAAAUAAACCUUAAAAUUGUUUUCAUUUAAACUUCUCCAGGAAAGGAAAAUGAUUUGGAGGUUGAUAAAGCAUACUUAAAAUAACCAAUAACCAAUGCAACCAAUAUACUAAUAGUCAAAUAACAGAAACUAGAA